rnacentral:rRNA from 1 species
GACGAACGCUGGCGGCGUGCUUAACACAUGCAAGUCGAACGAAGUGGCGAACGGGUGAGUAACGCGUAAUGAACCUGCCCUUCAGAGGGGGACAACAGUUGGAAACGUCUGCUAAUACCGCAUACUGAAGGAGGGGAUUGCGGGGGAUUAGCUAGUGGGUGGGGUAACGGCCCACCAAGGCGAUGGUCUGUAGCCGGGCUGAGAGGAUGAACGGCCACAUUGGGACUGAGACACGGCCCAGACUCCUACGGGAGGCAGCAGUGGGGAAUAUUGGACAAUGGGCGAAAGCCUGAUCCAGCCAUGCCGCGUGUCUGAAGAAGGCCUUCGGGUUGUAAAGGACUUUUGUUAGGGAAGCGGUACCCAAAGAAUAAGCACCGGCUAACUACGUGCCAGCAGCCGCGGUAAUAC